rnacentral:rRNA from 1 species
GAUGAACGCUGGCGGCGUGCCUAAUACAUGCAAGUCGAGCGAACGGACGAGAAGCUUGCUUCUCUGAUGUUAGCGGCGGACGGGUGAGUAACACGUGGAUAACCUACCUAUAAGACUGGGAUAACUUCGGGAAACCGGAGCUAAUACCGGAUGAUAUUUUGAACCGCAUGGUUCAAAAGUGAAAGGCGGUCUUGCUGUCACUUAUAGAUGGAUCCGCGCUGCAUUAGCUAGUUGGUAAGGUAACGGCUUACCAAGGCAACGAUGCAUAGCCGACCUGAGAGGGUGAUCGGCCACACUGGAACUGAGACACGGUCCAGACUCCUACGGGAGGCAGCAGUAGGGAAUCUUCCGCAAUGGGCGAAAGCCUGACGGAGCAACGCCGCGUGAGUGAUGAAGGUCUUCGGAUCGUAAAACUCUGUUAUUAGGGAAGAACAAAUGUGUAAGUAACUGUGCACAUCUUGACGGUACCUAAUCAGAAAGCCACGGCUAACUACGUG